rnacentral:rRNA from 1 species
UAGCCGUAAACGAUACUCGCUAGGUGUCGGCCACGGUGCGACCGUUGUCGGUGCCGUAGGGAAGCCGUGAAGCGAGCCACCUGGGAAGUACGGCCGCAAGGCUGAAACUUAAAGGAAUUGGCGGGGGGAGCACCACAAGAGGUGGAGGCUGCGGUUCAAUUGGACUCAACGCCGGAAACUCAUCGGGAGCGACAGCAGUAUGAUUGCCAGGUUGAUGACCUUGCUUGACAAGCUGAGAGGAGGUGCAUGGCGUAGUCGUGU